rnacentral:rRNA from 1 species
AUUGAACGCUGGCGGCAGGCCUAACACAUGCAAGUCGAAUGGUAACAGGAAACAGCUUGCUGUUUCGCUGACGAGUGGCGGAUGGGUGAGUCAUGUCUGGGAUACUGCCUGAUGGAGGGGGAUAACUACUGGAAACGGUAGCUAAUACCGCAUAACGUCGCCAGACCAAAGAGGGGGACCUUCUGGCCUCUUGCCAUCAGAUGUUCCCAGAUGGGAUUAGCUAGUAGGUGGGGUUACGGCUCACCUAGGCGACGAUCCGUAGAUGAUGUGAGAGGAUGGCCAGCCACACGGGAACUGAGACACGGUCCAGACGCCUAAGGGAGGCAGCAGUGGGGAAUAUUGCACAAUGGGCGCAAGCCUGAUGCAGCCAGGCCGCGUGUAUGAAGAAGGCCUUCGGGUUGGAAAGUACUUUCAGCGGGGAGGAAGGGAGUAAAGUUAAUACCUUUGCUCAUUGACGUUACCCGCAGAAGAAGCACCGGCUAACUCCGUG